rnacentral:rRNA from 1 species
AACGAACGCUGGCGGCAUGCCUAACACAUGCAAGUCGAACGAGACCUUCGGGUCUAGUGGCGCACGGGUGCGUAACGCGUGGGAACCUGCCCUUAGGUUCGGAAUAACUCCCCGAAAGGGGUGCUAAUACCGGAUAAUGUCUUCGGACCAAAGAUUUAUCGCCUUUGGAUGGGCCCGCGUUGGAUUAGCUAGUUGGUAGGGUAAAAGACUACCAAGGCGACGAUCCAUAGCUGGUCUGUGAGGAUGAUCAGCCACACUGAGACUGGGACACGGCCCAGACUCCUACGGGAUGCAGCAGUGGGGAAUAUUGGACAAUGGGCGAAAGCCUGAUCCAGCAAUGCCGCUUGAGUGAUGAAGGCCUUAGGGUUGUAAAGCUCUUUUACCCGGGAUGAUAAUGACAGUACCGGGAGAAUAAGCUCCGGCUAACUCCGUG